UGAGUUUGAAGCGGUUGCGCAGGAUUGCUGCGUGUCUUCUCGUAUUACCCUUCUUGUAUCCUCAGCGAGAUUUCCUGAAUAUUACAGAUUCGCGCCAGUUUCUCAUCCCUGCGCAUAGAUCGCCUGGAGACCCCCGCUGCGACACCAGGGUGGCAGUGGUCCUGCAUCCGCUCUUGUUGGCCUGCCCAGACUCUGACCAUAUUCUCCAUCUGAAGAUACUAUUUCUUGCUUGGACUUGACUGUUAUAAAUUUUCACAUAGUUUAGAAGUUCCGACUCCAUGCUCACCAAGGAACAGUCUGAUUAGGAUGGUGAAUUUCCACUUUAAGAGGAGGAAUGGAUGAG